rnacentral:rRNA from 1 species
AGAGUUUGAUCCUGGCUCAGAAUCAACGCUGGCGGCGCGCCUAACACAUGCAAGUCGAACGAGAAAGGGGAGCAAUCCCUGAGUAAAGUGGCGUACGGGUGAGUAACACGUGGAUGAUCUACCUUCUAGUGGGGAAUAACCCUGGGAAACCGGGGAUAAUACCGCAUAAGCUCGAGAGAGGAAAGCAGCAAUGCGCUGGAAGAGGAGUCCGCGGCCGAUUAGCUAGUUGGCAGGGUAAAAGCCUACCAAGGCAGAGAUCGGUAGCCGGCCUGAGAGGGCACACGGCCACACUGGCACUGAAACACGGGCCAGACUCCUACGGGAGGCAGCAGUGGGGAAUCUUGCACAAUGGGGGAAACCCUGAUGCAGCGACGCCGCGUGAGCGAUGAAGCCCUUCGGGGUGUAAAGCUCUUUCGGCAGGGAAGAUUAUGACGGUACCUGCAGAAGCAGCUGCGGCUAACUACGUGCCAGCCGCCGCGGUAAUAC